rnacentral:rRNA from 1 species
GAUGAACGCUGGCGGCGUGCCUAAUACAUGCAAGUCGAGCGAACGGACGAGAAGCUUGCUUCUCUGAUGUUAGCGGCGGACGGGUGAGUAACACGUGGAUAACCUACCUAUAAGACUGGGAUAACUUCGGGAAACCGGAGCUAAUACCGGAUAAUAUUUUGAACCGCAUGGUUCAAAAGUGAAAGACGGUCUUGCUGUCACUUAUAGAUGGAUCCGCGCUGCAUUAGCUAGUUGGUAAGGUAACGGCUUACCAAGGCAACGAUGCAUAGCCGACCUGAGAGGGUGAUCGGCCACACUGGAACUGAGACACGGUCCAGGCUCCUACGGGAGGCAGCAGUAGGGAAUCUUCCGCAAUGGGCGAAAGCCUGACGGAGCAACGCCGCGUGAGUGAUGAAGGUCUUCGGAUCGUAAAACGCUGUUAUUAGGGAAGAACAUAUGUGUAAGUAACUGUGCACAUCUUGACGGUACCUAAUCAGAAAGCCACGGCUAACUACGU